rnacentral:lncRNA from 1 species
GUUGCUCUCUCUCUCUCUCUCUCUCUCUCUCUCUCUCUCUCGUUUAACCACCUCUGAUCUCCUCCGAUCCAUAAACGACUUCUUUCUUCCAUUUGCUCACCCUACGCAAUCUUUCGACAUCCAUCUGGCUCUCUGCAAAGUUUUUUGGUGAAUCAACGGUAAACCUCUGCAUCGCUCGAGAGGCUAGUAGUAUCUCUUCAUUAGAUUGCCUUGGCAUAAUUUCUUCGAGAAUUUAUGCUACAUUUUUAGCAUUUAUCUCCUUAUUCAUUUGGGUUUUUCUUUUUCUUGUGAUUGAAGAGUGCCUAUUCAAUUUCUUUCCACUUGUUUUGAUGGGUUGUGACCCGGAAGAUGGUUCUGAGCUUGAGCUCGAGUUGCCGGAUUGAUUAUGGAGAUUUUACAUAUACGUUGGUUUUUCUUGUUGGAGUUUUCAAAUGGUGAUCUUUUUGUUGUUUCUUGGAAUUUCUGUGAUCCUUGGAGCUGGAUGUAACUAUAGAUUUGAACAGAUGUGGAUGCACGAAUGGAUUAUUUGGUAGUUGUCCGAUUGAUGCUAUAUGGAUUUAAUGUUUUUCUUNN